UUCCCCUUCGGGGACAUCCGAUAAAAUUGGAACGAUACAGAGAAGAUUAGCAUGGCCCCCACGCAAGGACAAAUCGAGAAAUGAUUCAAAAUUUU
rnacentral:snRNA from 1 species